GACGAACGCUGGCGGCGCGCCUAACACAUGCAAGUCGAACGAGCGAGCGAGAGCUUGCUUUCUCGAGCGAGUGGCGAACGGGUGGGUAACGCGUGAGGAACCUGCCUCAAAGAGGGGGACAACAGUUGGAAACGACUGCUAAUACCGCAUAAGCCCACGGUGCCGCCUGGCACAGAGGGAAAAGGAGCAAUCCGCUUUGAGAUGGCCUCGCGUCCGAUUAGCUAGUUGGUGAGGUAAUGGCCCACCAAGGCGACGAUCGGUAGCCGGACUGAGAGGUUGAACGGCCACAUUGGGACUGAGACACGGCCCAGACUCCUACGAGAGGCAGCAGUGGUGAAGAUUGCACAAUGGGGGAAACCCUGAGGCAGCGACGCCGCGUGGAGGAAGAAGGUCUUCGGAUUGUAAACUCCUGUUGUUGGGGAAGAUAAGGACGGUACCCAACAAGGAAGUGACGGCAAACUACGU
rnacentral:rRNA from 1 species